AACGAACGCUGGCGGCAUGCCUAACACAUGCAAGUCGAACGAGACCUUCGGGUCUAGUGGCGCACGGGUGCGUAACGCGUGGGAACCUGCCCUUAGGUUCGGAAUAACUCCCCGAAAGGGGUGCUAAUACCGGAUAAUGUCUUCGGACCAAAGAUUUAUCGCCUUUGGAUGGGCCCGCGUUGGAUUAGCUAGUUGGUAGGGUAAAAGCCUACCAAGGCGACGAUCCAUAGCUGGUCUGAGAGGAUGAUCAGCCACACUGGGACUGAGACACGGCCCAGACUCCUACGGGAGGCAGCAGUGGGGAAUAUUGGACAAUGGGCGAAAGCCUGAUCCAGCAAUGCCGCGUGAGUGAUGAAGGCCUUAGGGUUGUAAAGCUCUUUUACCCAGGAUGAUAAUGACAGUACCGGGAGAAUAAGCUCCGGCUAACUCCGU
rnacentral:rRNA from 1 species